rnacentral:lncRNA from 1 species
UUUUUUUUUGUGAUGUUGCAGAGUUUCUGCCUAAAUUGCAUACUUUGAUUAUCACCAGCAAUAGACUUACAAAUUUGGUUGAAAUUGAUCCGCUUGCGUCUCUACCAAACCUGAAGUUUCUUAGUUUGCUUGAUAAAAAUAUCACAACAACAACAACACAUUAUAAUCCCACUUAGUAGGAUCUGGGGAGGGUAGUAUGUACGCAGAACUUACCCCUACCCUGGGGUAGAGAGGUUGUUUCCAAAUAGACCCCCGGCAUCCUUCCCUCCAAGAACUUCCCACCUUGCUCUUGGGGAGACUCGAACUCACAACCUCUCGGUUGGAAGUGGGGGUUGCUUAUCAUCAGAACAACCCCUCUUUUCGGAUAAAGAGACCAAAUUAUCGCCUUUAUGUCAUUCACAAAUUGAAGUCCUUGCGUUUGCUGGUUCCUUCCGUGCCUUCAUUUGAACAAUGUAGGAACUCCUCAAAUAUGUUGAUAGUUCAGCUUGUUGUUUUAGGUAACAUUUUCUUGCUGUACUUGUUAUUCGGACUUGAAUUACGGUGCCAUCCUGAAUUUCCUCAAACAUGCUAGAAAAAGUAUAGCAAUUUAUUACGUAUCUUAUAGUCAGCUUAAAAAAGAAACAGAGAAUGGGUUCCUGAUUUUGAAACCAUAUGCAUUUUCAUUUUUCAUCCUUGCAAAAGGCACCUUUAAUUAAGUGGGAGGUGUUCAGCAUGCUGUCUGAACCAGUAUAGUUGCAUAAGAUAGCGCCAAGUUUGCGUACAUAGAGAAAUGACAGACCCACUAAAUCUGUUCGCUAGAAUAUGAAAUGGAAAUGGAGAAAAUCAAUGUUACCAUCCUUGAAUCGGCCGGACCCCAAGAUAAGGUACCUAAAUGAAAAAUAGUGUCAGCUUUAGGGUGUUAUCUUUGUAUUUGGCCUUCUUAUAGCCUGUUUGGCAAGCUUAUUUUUGGCCUAAAGUGCUUUUUUUUUGCCACAAGUACUUUUGGCCGAAAAUUGAGGUGUUUGGCCAAGCUUCUGGGGAAAAAAAUGCUUUUGAGGAGAAGCAGAAGCAGUCUUGGAGAAGCAGAAAAAGUAGCUUCUCUCCAGAAGCACUUUUGAUAAAAAUACACUUAGAAGAAGUUUUUUAAAGCUUGGUCAAACAGUAAUUGCUGCUCAGAAGUGCUUUUCAAGCUAAUUAGCCAAACACACACUACUUCUCACCAAAAGUAAAAAGCACUUCUCAAAAUAAGCUAAUUUUGCAGCUUGACCAAACGAGCUAUUAGUAUUUGAAUUUUAUCAUUUUAAAGAAGUUUGUUUAAUUAUAUCUUAAAGCAGAGGACACGCUAGUUUACCACAUAAUAUAUGCUUGUACAAAUUCUAUUACCCGCCGAAAACUUAAUACUCCCUCCGUUUCAGUUUAUGUGGACUCAUUUGACUGGACAUGGAGUUUAAGAAAAGAGAGAAGACUUUUGAUCUUGUGGUGUAAAAUGAGACACAUAUAUUUUGUGUGACUAUUAAUCAUUGUGCAAAGAUAAAUUAUUUCUAAAUAAGAAAAGGGGUCAUUCUUUUUGGCAUAGACUAGAAAGGAAAUAUGUUCACAUAAAUUGAAACUGAGGGAUUGGUUAGAAAAACUCUAUUACUUGUCUUGAAUUUAAUUUGUAGUUGUUUGCUUUAUGAGAUUGCCAAUGAUUUAAGCGUUCUUUUAUUGAGAUAUUCUGGGAUUAGACAGAUGACCUUAACAUUUGUAAUGUUACUACAUUCUUUUUCUUGUCUAUAUAAACAUACAACUAUAUUUUCCAGCAAUAUAUGUAGGCUCCCUCAUCUCUUUAUUUGCCGAUGCUCUAACAUACUACAUACAAAUGCUUUAAUACUCUAUGGCAUGAAUACAUGAUUAACCAGUCCAAAUGUUAUAUUUUGUCCGUUGGGAUUGGAGGUGGGAGCCGAAGCACCCAGAAAAUUACUUUAAACAGCUGCAUACUGAGCUGUCAGAUUUAAUUUUGUUGAUAUAGGAGCGAUUGGAAGCAAGUAAUUUAUUUGCAUAAGAAGAAGCUGAAGAACAGGCUAAAAAGGAAUCUAUGAAGACCUUUGUACUGGUGAGGUUCCAGCGGCCUCGAGGAACCAAAGGAAGAUGAAGCACCAAAACCAGCUGCUCCUACACCUGAGCAAAUUAUUGCAACUAAGGUAUAAUUUGUCAUUUAUCUGUUACUGGUCCUUAGCAAUUCUUCCUCUUCUUCGAUUGCAUUUUAAGGAUUAGGAUUGGUGGAACAGGUUGUUUGGAUAUGUCUAGGGAAUUUGGUGCUAUGAAAUAUGGAUAGGGCCAACAUAUACAACAACAACAACUACCCAAUAUAGUACUGUCUUGUAAAAAAAGGUCAACUACUUACCAUAUGCGUUAUGUUUUGCAGUUAGUGUUUUUGGCUAGCCUUCAGUUGCAAGCGCCAAUCACUCCAUACUCCCUUUGUAUAGCUCUGUGAACAACACUUUGCUCAUAUAAAGCUCACAAAUCAACUAGUUUCAGCAACACAACCAAUCCUAAAAUGAAAUGUUUUUUGAGAACAGUGGUCAACAAAGAAAUCUUCACUCUAUCUAGUCAUAAUAGAGCAGAAAAUUAGAAAGAAAACUAUAUUCUGAGUCAUAGAAGAACAGUAACUUCUGUGGAUAGUUUGUUUGAAUCUUGUAAGAGAAGUCAUCAGACUCUUCCAGUGAUUUGUAGGUCAGAGCUCAACUAAGCACUUUUAUU